rnacentral:tRNA from 1 species
UUUUCUAUAGUAUAUUGGUUUAUUACUUCAAAUUCAUAAUUUGAAAAAGAAGAUUCGAGUUCUUCUAGAAAAA